UUGAAAUCCUUAGGAUGUUGCUGGCCUUUCGGGGCAUGUGCACUCCGCCUUUUCAUAUCACCUGUGAACUCAUUGUAGGCCAGAUGUUACAGUCUGUGUCUAUGUUAUUUUUACACACACAAGUCUAUUAGAAUGUCUAAUAAAGACCUUUAUUGGUCAAAAUUAAUA
rnacentral:misc_RNA from 1 species